UGACAACAUCCCCUUUGGUCCUUGUGU
rnacentral:piRNA from 1 species